GAUGAAGAACGCAGCAAAAUGCGAUAAGUAAUGUGAAUUGCAGAAUUCAGUGAAUCAUCGAAUCUUUGAACGCACAUUGCGCCCGCCAGUAUUCUGGCGGGCAUGCCUGUCUGAGCGUCAUUUCAACCCUCAAGCAACUUCUGCUUGGUGUUGGGGAUCGGCCGUCAAACGCCGCCCCCGAAAUCUAUUGGCGAUCUCGCUGUAGCUUCCUAUGCGUAGUAGUAACAUCUCGCAUCUGGAGAGCGGCGCGGUCAUGCCGUAAAACACCCAACUUCUCAGGUUGACCUCAGAUCAGGUAGGAAUACCCGCUGAACUUAAGCAUAUCAAUAAGCGGAGGA
rnacentral:misc_RNA from 1 species